rnacentral:rRNA from 1 species
UAACUUGCCUUGGGUCYGGGAUAACCCCUGAGAAYUGGGGACAAUACCGGAUAGGGCAUCGAUWGCUGGAAUGCACGAUGUCCAAAAGCUGAGGCGCCCAAGGAUAGGUCUGCGGCCGAUUAGGUUGUUGUUGAUGUAAUGGAUCAACAAGCCUGCAAUCGGUACGGGUUGUGAGAGCAAUAGCCCGGAGAUGGGUUCUGAGAAAAGAACCCAGGUCCUACGGGACGCAUCAGGCGCGAAAACUUUACAAUGUGCGAAAGCACGAUAAGGGAACUCUGAGUGCCUCCUAUGGAGGCUGUUCAGGUGUCUAAAAAGCAYUUGAAGUAAGGGCUGGGUAAGACCGGUGCCAGCCGCCGCGGUAACACCGGCAGCCCAAGUGGUAGCCACGAUUAUUGGGUCUAAAGCGUCCGUAGCCGGCCAGGUAAGUUCYUUGGGAAAUUUAACCGCUCAACGGUUAAGCUUUCAGGGAAUACUGCUUGGCUUGGGACCGGGAGAGGUCAGAGGUACUUCAAGGGUAGGGGUGAAAUCCRUUAAUCCUUGAGGGACCACCAGUAGCGAAGGCGUCUGACCAGACCGGGUCCGACGGUGAGGGACGAAGGCUAGGGUCGCGAACCGGAUUAGAUACCCGGGUAGUCCUAGCUGUAAACGAUGCGGGCCAGGUGUUGGCAUUACUGCGAGUGAUGYCAGUGCCGAAGGGAAGCCGUUAAGCCCGCCAUCUGGGGAGUACGGUCGCAAGGCUGAAACUUAA